UACGAAGGGGGCUAGCGUUGCUCGGAAUCACUGGGCGUAAAGCGCACGUAGGCGGAUUGCUAAGUCAGGGGUGAAAUCCUGGAGCUCAACUCCAGAACUGCCCUUGAUACUGGCGGUCUCGAGUCCGGGAGAGGUGAGUGGAACUGCGAGUGUAGAGGUGAAAUUCGUAGAUAUUCGCAAGAACACCAGUGGCGAAGGCGGGAUCUCUGGACAGUUCCUGACGCUGAGGCACGAAGGCCAGGGGAGCAAACGGG
rnacentral:rRNA from 1 species